AGAAUGGACAGGCAAUGAUACCUGGCUGAAACUUGAAUCCAGGAUUAGAUGAAUAGUUACGUUUUCUAACCUACGGACCUAUCUACUAAGUUGUAUUAUUGACAGUUUAUUCUAUUUUUUAAAUUUUCUUUUUUUUUCUCUUUUCUCUUUCUUUCUAUAAA